rnacentral:rRNA from 1 species
UACAGAGGGGGCAAGCGUUAUUCGGAAUUAUUGGGCGUAAAGGGCGCGUAGGCGGCCUGGCAAGUGGAAGGUGAAAUCCCCCGGCUUAACCGAGGAACUGCCUUCCAAACUGCUUGGCUUGAGUCCGGGAGAGGCGAGUGGAAUUCCCAGUGUAGCGGUGAAAUGCGUAGAUAUUGGGAGGAACACCAGUGGCGAAGGCGGCUCGCUGGACCGGAACUGACGCUGAGGCGCGAAAGCGUGGGGAGCAAACAGGAUUAGAAACCCCCGUAGUCC